GAAGCAGAUGUACAAUGCAUGUUUGGUGGGCCAUAAGUCAGGCUGCUCUGGGAAAAACAAGUUUCAGCUGAAUCAGAUUUAAACCAGAAUGGCUUCCCUGUACACCUCAAUAUGUGA